UACAGAGGUCUCAAGCGUUUGUUCGGAUUCAUUGGGCGUAAAGGGUGCGUAGGCGGCGCGGUAAGUCGGGUGUGAAAUCUCGGAGCUUAACUCCGAAACUGCAUUCGAUACUGCCGUGCUUGAGGACUGGAGAGGAGAUUGGAAUUACGGUGUAGCGUGAAAUGCGUAGAUAUCGUGAGGAAGACCAGUGGCGAAGGCGGGAUCUCUGGACAGUUCCUGACGCUGAGGCACGAAGGCCAGGGGGAGCAAACGGG
rnacentral:rRNA from 1 species